UACGUAGGGGGCGAGCGUUGUCCGGAUUUACUGGGCGUAAAGCGCGCGUAGGCGGAUCUUUAAGUCCGGUCUGAAAGCCCCCGGCUCAACCGGGGAAGGUGGCUGGAAACUGGAGGUCUCGAGGGCGGCAGAGGCGUGUGGAAUUCCUGGUGUAGCGGUGAAAUGCGUAGAGAUCAGGAGGAACACCCGUGGCGAAGGCGGCACGCUGGGCCGGCCCUGACGCUGAGCCGCGAAAGCCAGGGGAGCGAACGGG
rnacentral:rRNA from 1 species